UACGAAGGGUGCAAGCGUUACUCGGAAUUACUGGGCGUAAAGCGUGCGUAGGUGGUUUGUUAAGUCUGAUGUGAAAGCCCCGGGCUCAACCUGGGAAUGGCAAUGGAUACUGGCAGGCUAGAGUGCGGUAGAGGGUAGUGGAAUUCCCGGUGUAGCGGUGAAAUGCGUAGAGAUCGGGAGGAACACCAGUGGCGAAGGCGGCUACCUGGACCAGCACUGACACUGAGGCACGAAAGCGUGGGGAGCAAACAGG
rnacentral:rRNA from 1 species